CCGUGCGAAGGUAGCGUAAUCACUUGUUCUUUAAAUGAGGACUAGUAUGAAUGGCACCACGAGGGUUAAGCUGUCUCCUUUUUCUAAUCAGUGAAACUAAUCUCCCCGUGAAGAAGCGGGGAUUAUACUAUAAGACGAGAAGACCCUAUGGAGCUUAAAACAAAUUAACACUUGCUUCUAUCCAUUUUUACUCCUGAACUAACACAUAAAAUAUAGCAUCGUUGAUUAAUAGUUUUCGAUUGGGGUGAUCAUGGAGUAAAAACCAACCUCCACGACGAAAAGGAACACUUCCCUGAGCUAAAAGCUACAACUUUAAGCACUAAAAAAUUAACGCACUUUGACCCAAAUUUUUGAGCAACGAACCAAGUUACYCUAGGGAUAACAGCGCAAUCCAUUUCAAGAGCCCCUAUCGACAAAUGGGUUUACGACCUCGAUGUUGGAUCAGGGUAUC
rnacentral:rRNA from 1 species